GAUGAACGCUGGCGGCGUGCCUAAUACAUGCAAGUCGAGCGAACGGACGAGAAGCUUGCUUCUCUGAUGUUAGCGGCGGACGGGUGAGUAACACGUGGAUAACCUACCUAUAAGACUGGGAUAACUUCGGGAAACCGGAGCUAAUACCGGAUGAUAUUUUGAACCGCAUGGUUCAAAAGUGAAAGACGGUCUUGCUGUCACUUAUAGAUGGAUCCGCGCUGCAUUAGCUAGUUGGUAAGGUAACGGCUUACCAAGGAAACGAUGCAUAGCCGACCUGAGAGGGUGAUCGGCCACACUGGAGCUGAGACACGGUCCAGACUCCUACGGGAGGCAGCAGUAGGGAAUCUUCCGCAAUGGGCGAAAGCCUGACGGAGCAACGCCGCGUGAGUGAUGAAGGUCUUCGGAUCGUAAAACUCUGUUAUUAGGGAAGAACAUAUGUGUAAGUAACUGUGCACAUCUUGACGGUACCUAAUCAGAAAGCCACGGCUAACUACGUG
rnacentral:rRNA from 1 species